CGUCGGGGCUCAGGAUUUAUGGUGCCAGAGCGGUUGUGGCGGGCAUUUUGAUGCUGCAGUGGGUUGUCUGUCGAGCCCCUCAUUCUGGACCUCCCAUGUCCACCCUGGUCCUGUCAGGUUCCUAGUUGUCACAUUCCUGUGUGAUGGUGAACUCGUUUUCUUUUCUGAGUCUCAUGACAAGAGAAGGUUAAGAGUAAACUAUCUAAUCAUUUCCAUCUGAGACCUGAGAAGGAGAAAUGUUGCCUGAAGAAACAGGAAAUUCAGAGAAAAUAGCUUCCAAUUCUAAAGAAAUGACAGAAAUUGUUGGCUACCAUGACAGACAGUCAGCAAAUAUUCUUGUGUCAUUGUGGCAUCCAGUGUCAAUUGAAUGGGCCAGGGGCGCUGACAAAACUCCUUUGAAGUAGGUCAUUUGAAGGACUAUCCUAUUUUUCUCCAAAGCCUGGGACAACAGACUUCCCCAUGAUCCCCUUCUCCACAGUCUGGACAACUUUCUGGCAGCAGUGGAGUCUGUGAAGAGACACCAUGACCAAGGGAACUUAUAGAAGAAAGAGUAUAUUGUUGCUUACAGUUUCAAGGAUUCUGAGCUAUGGCUAUUAUGCUGAGGUACAUGGCAGCAGGCUGCGAAGAGAUACCAUGAGCAAGGGAACUUUUCGAAGAAAGAGUUUAUUGGGGCUUACAGUUUCAAGGAUCAUGAGUCUGUGAUCAGUAUGCAGGGGUACAUGGCAGCAGGUAGGUCACCGUGUUUCUAGAGAACUAGCUGAGAUCUUACAUCUUAUCUGCAAGUUGGACACUGAGAAAAUGAGACUUAAGUGUAAAUGGUAUUGAAUUUGGAAACCUCAAAGGCCAAUCCCAGAACAAUCCUACAAAAAAACAAAACAAAACAAAACAAAACUAUAUCUUCUACUUCUUCCCGAACAUUUCCUCUAACAGCAACAAACAUUCAUACAUGUGAGUUUAUGGAGACCAUUAUCAUUCAAAAGACCACAUUCUACUCCCAAUUGUCCAUAGGAUCUUAAACAUAUCAUAAUGAAAAAUGCACUUAGCUCGCUUUGCAAAAGCCCUAUAGUCUUUACCGUCUACACAGUUUAUCCAAACAGCUUCAUAAAACUGCAGGCAGUCCCUUAAUUAUUCACCCUAUGAAAUCAAAUGGCCAAUUACACACAUCCAAUGUGUAAUGCCAAAUCACAUAUGUUAUCAUUGCAAAGUGAAGUUGGGAAGGAUAGCGAGCCAAUUCAAGGCAUAAUCGCAAUAGCCACACUCCACAUUCUCUCCUUCUGACAGAAGAGAAAGAGAUUAGAUGGGUUCACUCCUCUGGCUUUGCUGAUUGAAACAUAAUUCAUAAACUUUUGUUGUAUCAUAUAGAUCUGUGGAUGGUGGUUGUGUUUUCAAUGUCACUCAUUUCUAGGAAUUUUUCAUUUUUCCUUAUUUAUUUCUCCCCUUACCCUUUCAGUAGUAUAUUGUUUAUGUUACUUACUUUCCAUGAGUGUCUGUAUUUUCUGUACUUUUAAUUGUGUGAUACCAGUUUGAUUCCUUUGGGCUCAGAUAGAACACACAACAUUAUUUCAACGAUCUUAUAUUUUCUGAGGCUUGCUUUUUUUCCUACUCUCUGGUCAAUUUUGGAGAAAUGUCCACAGGCUGAUAGAAAAUAUAUGUAUAGUACACUGUAGUUUGUUAGUUCCUUUUGCCUGAUGAUGUCACUUACUUCUGCUCUUCCUGUUUUGUUUAUUUGCAUAUGAGCUGUUAAGUGGUCAGAAUGCAGAAGCAAAAGAAAUCACAAACACUAUUAGAACGAAUCUGUAGUUUCAUAGCUAUCUGAUAACAUAACAUUUGGUUAAUUUAUGAGAUUUUUUAGGCUACUUUUGAUUGACUGUCCUAGUGGUGUAAAUUUAUUUCCUGUGUCCU
rnacentral:sRNA from 1 species